GGAUCCAGGCAGAUUUUAGUCAGGAUCCUCACAGACAUCAGUCAGGAUCCUGGCACAUUUUAGGUAGGAUCCCAGCAGGUUUGGGGCAGGAUCCCGGCAGGUUUGGGGCAAGAUCCCAUCAGAUUUUAGUCAGGAUCCACACAGACAUCAGUCAGGAUCUCGGCAUGUUUUAGGCAGGAUCCCAGCAAGUUUGGGGCAGGAUCCAGGCAGGAUCCCGCCAGGAUCCCAGCACAUUUUAGUCAGGAUCCCCCAGACAUUAGUCAGGAUCCCGGCACGUUUUGAGAAGGAUCCCAGCAGGUCUGGGGCAGGAUCCAGGCAGAUUUUAGUCAGGAUCCUCACAGACAUCAGUCAGGAUCCUGGCACAUUUUAGGUAGGAUCCCGGCAGAAUUUAGGCAGGAUCCCAGCAGGUUUGGGGCAGGAUCCAGGCAGACUUUAGGCAGGAUCCAGGCAGAUUUCAGUCAGGAUCUUCACAGACAUCACUCAGGAUCCCAGCAUGUUUGGGGCAGGAUCCAGACGCAUUUUAGGCAGGAUCCCCACAGACAUCACGCAGGAUCCCGGCACAUUUUAGGCAGGAUCCCGGUAGGUUUGGGGCAGGAUCCAGGCAGGAUCCCCACAGAGACAUCAGGCAGGAUCCCGGCACAUUUUAGUCAGGAUCCACACAGACAUCAGUCAGGAUCCCGGCACGUUUUAGGCCGGAUCCCGGCAUGUUUGGGGCAGGAUCCCGUCACGUUUUAGGCCGGAUCCCGUCGGGAUCCCGGCAGGCCCCAGGCAGGCCCCAGCCCCUGGCCUGCCGCCAGCGGGGCCGGCGCGGGCGAUAACGGCGCCGGGGCCCUGCGGUUCGGGAGCAGCGGGGCCGGGCGGAAACGGCCCCAACGGCCCCGCCGCCACCGGGACCGCGCCGGGGCACCGCGGGGUCCUGCGGGGCCGUGUUAUUGUAGGGUCUCCAGGUGUUGUGGUGACGUGGGGCCCUCGGGCACCGUGUUAUUGUAGGGUCUCCUGGCUCUGGGUUUGUUAUCAGGUUUCCUGGCAUUAUGUUAUUGUAGGGUCUCCGGGUGUCCUGAUAACGUGGGGUCCUCGGGCACUGUGUUGUUGUAGGGUGUCUGGGUCUUGUGAUAACGUGGGGUCCUCAGGCAUUGUUAUUGUAGGGUCUCCUGGUGCUGUGAUAACGUGGGUCCUUGGGCACGGUGUUAUUGUAGGGUCUCCUGGCUCUAGUGUUAUUGUAGGGUGUUGUGUUUUUGCAGGGUCUCUAGCUGCUGUGCCAUCGUGAGGUCCCUGGUGCUGCUGUUGUAAGGAUUACUUGGUGUGUUAUUGUAGGGUCUCCUGGCCCUGCAUUAUUACACCGUCCUUGCCACUAUCAUUGUAGGGUCUCCUGUUUUUUUGUUAUUGUAGGGUCUCUUAGGGCUAUGUUAUUGUAGAGUCUCCUGGAUUUUGUUGCUGUAGGGUCUCCCAGUGCUGUGUUAUUGAAGGGUCUCCUGGCUUUUUGUUAUUGUAGGGUCUCUUAGGGCUACGUUAUUGUAGGCUCACCUGGCUCUUUGUUGCUGCAGGGUGCCUCAGUGCUGUGUUAUUGUAGGGUCUCCUGGCUCUUUGCUGCCGUGGGGUCUGCUAAAGCUAUGUUAUUGUAGGGUCUCCUGGCUCUUUGUUGCUGUAGGGUCUCCCAGUGCUGUGUUAUUGUAGGGCCUCCUGCUUCUUUGCUGCUGUGGGGUUUCCUAGGGCUAUGUUAUUGUAGGGUCUCCUGGAUUUUGUUGCUGUGGGGCCUCCCAGUGCUGUUAUUGUAGGGUCUCCUGGCUCUUUGUUGCUGCAGGGUCUCCCAGUGCUGUGUUAUUGUAGGGUCUCCUGGCGAUACGUUAUUGUAGGGUCCCUGCUGCUGUGUUUUAGCGGGGACGGGGGUGGCGGGGGGGU
ensembl:lncRNA